GACGAACGCUGGCGGCGUGCCUAAUACAUGCAAGUCGAGCGCAGGAAGCUAGACAGAACUCUUCGGAGUGACGUCAAGUGGAAUGAGCGGCGGACGGGUGAGUAACACGUGGGCAACCUNCCUGUAAGACUGGGAUAACUCCGGGAAACCGGAGCUAAUACCGGAUAAAAUUUUUCGCUGCAUGGCGAAGAAAUGAAAGGUGGCUUUUAGCUAUCACUUACAGAUGGGCCCGCGGCGCAUUAGCUAGUUGGUGAGGUAACGGCUCACCAAGGCAACGAUGCGUAGCCGACCUGAGAGGGUGAUCGGCCACACUGGGACUGAGACACGGCCCAGACUCCUACGGGAGGCAGCAGUAGGGAAUCUUCCGCAAUGGACGAAAGUCUGACGGAGCAACGCCGCGUGAACGAAGCCGGUUUUCGGAUCGUAAAGUUCUGUUGUUAGGGAAGAACACGUACCGUUCAAAUAGGGCGGUACCUUGACGGUACCUAACGAGAAAGCCCCGGCUAACUACGUGCCAGCAGCCGCGGUAGUACGUAGGGGGCGAGCGUUGUCCGGAAUUAUUGGGCGUAAAGCGCGCGCAGGCGGUUUUUUAAGUCUGAUGUGAAAUCUUGCGGCUCAACCGUAAGCGGUCAUUGGAAACUGGAGAACUUGAGUGCAGAAGAGGAGAGUGGAAUUCCACGUGUAGCGGUGAAAUGCGUAGAGAUGUGGAGGAACACCAGUGGCGAAGGCGACUCUCUGGUCUGUAACUGACGCUGAGGCGCGAAAGCGUGGGGAGCAAACAGGAUUAGAUACCCUGGUAGUCCACGCCGUAAACGAUGAGUGCUAGGUGUUAGGGGGUUUCCGCCCCUUAGUGCUGCAGUUAACGCAUUAAGCACUCCGCCUGGGGAGUACGGCCGCAAGGCUGAAACUCAAAAGAAUUGACGGGGACCCGCACAAGCGGUGGAGC
rnacentral:rRNA from 1 species